UUCUCCUUUUGUAGGUAUGGCACUGAGAAGACUUCUGCUCCUUUUGGCAGGUUUGGCCCAAAUCUGUGGAACUUGUCAUUUAAGUUCCCGGGGAAAGAGUUUUGUUACUGCCUUCAUGCAAAAU